CAUAUAGGUCCCAAAUCGCAACAACUCCUCCAAAAUCCUACGUGGCGCUGAUGUGGCGUGCCACACGAACGUGACGUGGCAUUUAAAAAUUUUCCUUUUCCUUUUUUUUCUUUUCUUCUUCUCUUUUUUUUUCUUUUAUUCUCUUCUCUUUUCUCUGUGACCUGAGCAACCCGUGUAGCGGUGGCCUAUAGCUGCAGUGAGAGCAAGAAAAGGAGAAGAAAGGAAAAAAAAGAGAAUAAAAAAGGGAAAUGAAAAUUUUUUAAGUGGGUCUCAUUUGUCAUUCAAUAUUAUGCCAUGUCAUGUCUGUGUGUCAUUGCCACAUCAGUGCCAUGUAAGAUCCUGGAGGAGCUGUGACGAUUUGGGACCUACAUGACAC
rnacentral:pre_miRNA from 1 species